rnacentral:rRNA from 1 species
CGAAAGCCUGACGGAGCAACGCCGCGUGAGGGAUGAAGGCCUCUGGGCUGUAAACCUCUUUUCUCAAGGAAGAAGAUCUGACGGUACUUGAGGAAUAAGCCACGGCUAAUUCCGUGCCAGCAGCCGCGGUAAUACGGGAGUGGCAAGCGUUAUCCGGAAUUAUUGGGCGUAAAGCGUCCGCAGACGGCCUUGUAAGUCUGCCGUUAAAGCGUGGAGCCCAACUCCAUUUCAGCGGUGGAAACUACAAGGCUUGAGUGUGGUAGGGGCAGAGGGAAUUCCCGGUGUAGCGGUGAAAUGCGUAGAUAUCGGGAAGAACACCAGUGGCGAAGGCGCUCUGCUGGGCCAUAACUGACGCUCAUGGACGAAAGCCAGGGGAGCG